rnacentral:rRNA from 1 species
AGAAUGAACGCUGGCGGCAUGCCUAACACAUGCAAGUCGAACGAAGGCUUCGGCCUUAGUGGCGCACGGGUGCGUAACGCGUGGGAAUCUGCCCCUUGGUUCGGAAUAACAGUUAGAAAUGACUGCUAAUACCGGAUGACGACGUAAGUCCAAAGAUUUAUCGCCGAGGGAUGAGCCCGCGUAGGAUUAGCUAGUUGGUGUGGUAAAGGCGCACCAAGGCGACGAUCCUUAGCUGGUCUGAGAGGAUGAUCAGCCACACUGGGACUGAGACACGGCCCAGACUCCUACGGGAGGCAGCAGUGGGGAAUAUUGGACAAUGGGCGAAAGCCUGAUCCAGCAAUGCCGCGUGAGUGAUGAAGGCCUUAGGGUUGUAAAGCUCUUUUACCCGGGAUGAUAAUGACAGUACCGGGAGAAUAAGCUCCGGCUAACUCCGUGCCAGCAGCCGCGGUAAUACGGAGGGAGCUAGCGUUAUUCGGAAUUACUGGGCGUAAAGCGCACGUAGGCGGCUUUGUAAGUAAGAGGUGAAAGCCCAGAGCUCAACUCUGGAAUUGCCUUUUAGACUGCAUCGCUUGAAUCAUGGAGAGGUCAGUGGAAUUCCGAGUGUAGAGGUGAAAUUCGUAGAUAUUCGGAAGAACACCAGUGGCGAAAGGCGGCUGACUGGACAUGUAUGACG